rnacentral:rRNA from 1 species
AGCGAACGCUGGCGGCAGGCCUAAUACAUGCAAGUCGAACGGCUCUUCGGAGCAGUGGCGGACGGGUGAGUAACGCGUGGGAAUGUGCCCUUAGGUACGGAACAACACAGGGAAACUUGUGCUAAUACCGUAUGUGCCCUUCGGGGGAAAGAUUUAUCGCCUUUGGAGCAGCCCGCGUUGGAUUAGGUAGUUGGUGAGGUGAAGGCUCACCAAGCCGACGAUCCAUAGCUGGUCUGAGAGGAUGACCAGCCACACUGGGACUGAGACACGGCCCAGACUCCUACGGGAGGCAGCAGUAGGGAAUCUUGCGCAAUGGGCGAAAGCCUGACGCAGCCAUGCCGCGUGUAUGAUGAAGGUCUUAGGAUUGUAAAAUACUUUCACCGGGGAAGAUAAUGACGGUACCCGGAGAAGAAGCCCCGGCUAACUUCGUGCCAGCCGCCGCGGUAA